rnacentral:rRNA from 1 species
GACAGAGGGUGCAAGCGUUGUUCGAAAUUACUGGGCGUAAAGGGUACGUAGGCGGCGAAGUAUGUCUGGUGUGAAAGACCUUGGCUUAACCAAGGAAGUGCAUUGGAAACUACUUUGCUAGAGUACAAGAGAGGGUGGUGGAAUUCCCAGAGUAGAGGUGAAAUUCGUAGAUACUGGGAGGAACAUCUGAGGCGAAGGCGACCACCUGGAUUGUAACUGACGCUGAGGUACGAAAGCAUGGGUAGCAAACAGG